UAUAAAAAAUGUCUGGAAUUA
rnacentral:piRNA from 1 species